rnacentral:rRNA from 1 species
UACAGAGGGUGCAAGCGUUAAUCGGAAUUACUGGGCGUAAAGCGUGCGUAGACGGUUAUGUAAGUCGGGUGUGAAAGCCCCGGGCUCAACCUGGGAAUGCCAUUCGAGACUGCAUAGCUAGGGUGCGGAAGAGGGAAGCGGAAUUUCCGGUGUAGCGGUGAAAUGCGUAGAUAUCGGAAGGAACACCAGUGGCGAAAGCGGCUUCCUGGUCCAGCACCGACGUUCAGACACGAAAGCGUGGGGAGCAAACAGG